rnacentral:rRNA from 1 species
GGUGAACGCUGGCGGUAGGCCUAACACAUGCAAGUCGAACGGCAGCACAGUAAGAGCUUGCUCUUACGGGUGGCGAGUGGCGGACGGGUGAGGAAUACAUCGGAAUCUACUUUUUCGUGGGGGAUAACGUGGGGAAACUUACGCUAAUACCGCAUACGACCUACGGGUGAAAGCAGGGGAUCUUCGGACCUUGCGCGAUUGAAUGAGCCGAUGUCGGAUUAGCUAGUUGGCGGGGUAAAGGCCCACCAAGGCGACGAUCCGUAGCUGGUCUGAGAGGAUGAUCAGCCACACUGGAACCGAGACACGGUCCAGACUCCUACGGGAGGCAGCAGUGGGGAAUAUUGGACAAUGGGCGCAAGCCUGAUCCAGCCAUACCGCGUGGGUGAAGAAGGCCUUCGGGUUGUAAAGCCCUUUUGUUGGGAAAGAAAAGCAGCAGGUUAAUACCCCGCUGUUCUGACGGUACCCAAAGAAUAAGCACCGGCUAACUUCGUG